UCCCUUCAUUGCUCGUAGCUUGCUUAUGAUUAGAUCAAAAGUUUACUCUCGCAGCUUAUAACCGCAGUUAGAGCUGUAGUUCGACUUAUCUUCCCUUUGUCCGUCGCGUUGCAUUCUGCAGCGGCGUAUGAAUUGGAGUGUAUAGCUGAUGCUGGAUGCAACAGUGGUGUAUAUCUGUGAGGUGAAAUGAAACGGAACAAAAUGAAACGAAACGAAAUGAAAUGAAAUGAAAUGAAAUGAAGUGAAGUGAUGUGAAGUGAUGUGAAUAGGGUUCGUUCACACUCAAUCUAGUUUAGUUGAACGCUGCAGCAGAAUAGGAAGGAGGCUGGCCUGCAUCCAGGUCCCGGAGCAUUAAUAGAAUCUCGAACUCUUUCAUUUUUCAUUACAUCCACCUCCGACGCACUUCUGUGCCUCUUCAAAACCAAAAUCCGCCAUCAUCAAAACGCUUCGAACGAUCGAAUUCUCGUAUUUAAAUAAACCACGUCAAUUUUUUCAUCGGUAAAAUAUGCCCAGUCCGUAUCCAACCUACUCUGCACGUCGUUCGUGGUCGAUCGACGUGAACGGAAGAACCUACAGUAGGUACGUACGUGCAACGCAACGUAUGACGAAAACGAUGAGAUAUGCGUCAUCGUACCGUUACAAAAAUAUAAUUAUUACAUCUAUAGCAUAUGUAUAUAUUAUAAGAAUUACGUAAGGAUAUUAAAAUUAUCAAAUAUGUUCAAAACACGAAGAUUGAAAAUAAAUUAUUCAAACAA